rnacentral:rRNA from 1 species
CCCUUAGAUGUUCUGGGCCGCACGCGCGCUACACUGACCAGUGCAACAAGCAUCCGUCCUUGGCCGACAGGCCCGGGCAAUCUUUGAACGCUGGUCGUGAUGGGGAUAGACUUUUGCAAUUUUUGGUCUUCAACGAGGAAUUCCUAGUAAACGCAAGUCAUCAACUUGCAUUGAUUACGUCCCUGCCCUUUGUACACACCGCCCGUCGCACCUACCGAUUGAAUGGUCCGGUGAAGCCUCCGGAUUGGCGCGCACCCCGGUGCCGCCGAGAAGUUGGCUAAACCUUACCAUUUAGAGGAAGGUGAAGUCGUANCA